rnacentral:tRNA from 1 species
GCGGGGAUAGCCAAGCCCGGAAACGGCGCGGGACUUAAACGACCGGAGGAACGGCUCCCUUCUGAGAGAUCCCGUCGCGCAGGCGUUCGCCGGUUCGAAUCCGGCUCCCCGCA